UAGAUAUACUGUAUAGAGAGAGACUAGUGACAUAUUAUGAUAUUAUUGUGGUACAUAUUGUAUUUAUAUUAUUAGUAAAAAUGUUGAUCAGUUAGACACAAUGGAUGAAUCAUUUACUGAUCUUGAUUCUACUCUCAAUACUUGUACACUAUCAGUAGCUCCUCCUUUUCCUCCUACUCCAAUGAGAGGUCCUCCCACUAAAAGACAAGCAUUAGGAUAUGGACAUUCAUUUAGUUCAAUGGAUCUCACUAAAUUAGGAUCCACUGGUACUCUCUGAUACUGUUCAUGUAUCCCAUUAGAUUGUUAUAUUUUAUUUUUAUAAUUCUCUCCUCUCUCAUCAUUGUUGUGUCUUUCUUUAUUAAUUAUUAUUACUUAACUACAUUGCAUUUAACUCUCCCUCUAUAACUGUCUCAUAGCCCAAGCUAAUUUAGUUUAAUUUUCUUGCAAUUGUUUACUUUUAUUAUCAUCAAAAA